GGAUCAUUACCGAGUUUCCGAACUCCCAACCCCCUGUGAACAUACCUAUACGUUGCUUCGGCGGGUCGCGCACCGCGCCCCCGCCGAGGGACACGCCAAACUCUUUUGCAAACAGCCCGUCUUAUUCCAACAAAAACAAAUGAAUCAAAACUUUCAACAACGGAUCUCUUGGUUCUGGCAUCGAUGAAGAACGCAGCGAAAUGCGAUACGUAAUGUGAAUUGCAGAAUUCAGUGAAUCAUCGAAUCUUUGAACGCACAUUGCGCCCGCCAGCAUUCUGGCGGGCAUGCCUGUUCGAGCGUCAUUUCAACCCUCGAGCCCCCCGGGGCUUGGUGUUGGGGGACGGCCCGCCCCUUUCCGGGCGGAGGGCCGCCCCCGAAAUGAAUUGGCGGCCACGGCGUCCGCCUCCCCUGCGUAGUAGCACAGCAUCUCGCAACGGGAGCGCGCCGCGGCCACUGCCGUAAAACGCACAACCUUUUUAGAGUUGACCUCGGAUCAGGUAGGA
rnacentral:rRNA from 1 species